ensembl:lncRNA
GAUCGUCCGAGUCCGUGUCGCUCUCGCUGCUGUCCUCCACCAGGAAGCUGGGGUAGUUCCAGGACAUGCUGCUGAUGCCCUCCGCCUCGUGCAGCAGGAUGUGAGCCAGCAUCCGUCCGUGACAGUCCAUGACGAUCACCUGCCCGUCCGCCGUGCCAAACAACACCUGACCAGCAAAACAAGGCUUCUUACUUAGCUGUGCAGAACCAAGCAACGCUUCAUAUAUUCAGAAGAGAUCAACUGACGAGAGCCACGGAGGUCAGUAAAAUAAUAAAUUAAAUGAGCGAUGGUUUCUCUGGAGAAGACUCUUACUCC